rnacentral:rRNA from 1 species
GACAUGCAGGUGAUCGCCGUUGAAAGACGGUUUCCUCUUCGGAGGCACCUGCACAGGUGCUGCAUGGCUGUCGUCAGCUCGUGUCGUGAGAUGUUGGGUUAAGUCCCGCAACGAGCGCAACCCUUAUCCCCAGUUGCCAUCAGGUAAAGCUGGGAACUCUGGGGAGACUGCCGGUGAUAAACCGGAGGAAGGCGGGGAUGACGUCAAGUCCUCAUGGCCCUUACAUCCCGGGCUACACACGUGCUACAAUGGCAGGUACAGAGGGCUGCGAAGCCGCGAGGUGGAGCGAAUCCCAGAAAACCUGUCUCAGUCCGGAUUGAAGUCUGCAACUCGACUUCAUGAAGGCGGAAUCGCUAGUAACCGCGAAUCAGCAGGUCGCGGUGAAUACGUUCCCGGGCCUU